GGAGCGGUACUCAAGAGGCUGAAGAGGACGGUUUGCUAAAUCGUUAGGCUGGGUAACCGGUGCGAGGGUUCGAAUCCCUCCCGCUCCGCCA
rnacentral:tRNA from 1 species